GGCCCAAUACUGACGCUGAGGCACGAAAGCGUGGGGAGCAAACAGGAUUAGAUANCCUGGUAGUCCACGCCCUAAACGAUGAAUACUAGAUGUUUGGUGCCAAGCGUACUGAGUGUCGUAGCUAACGCGAUAAGUAUUCCGCCUGGGAAGUACGGCCGCAAGGUUAAAACUCAAAGGAAUUGACGGGGGCCCGCACAAGCGGUGGAGCAUGUGGUUUAAUUCGAUGCAACGCGAAGAACCUUACCUGGGCUUGACAUGUCUGGAAUCCUGCAGAGAUGCGGGAGUGCCCUUCGGGGAAUCAGAACACAGGUGCUGCAUGGCUGUCGUCAGCUCGCGUCGUGAGAUGUUGGGUUAAGUCCCGCAACGAGCGCAACCCUUGUCCUUAGUUGCCAGCGGUUCGGCCGGGCACUCUAGGGAGACUGCCGGUGACAAACCGGAGGAAGGUGGGGAUGACGUCAAGUCCUCAUGGCCUUCAUGUCCAGGGCUACACACGUGCUACAAUGGCGCGUACAGAGGGAAGCCAAGCCGCGAGGUGGAGCAGACCCCAGAAAGCGCGUCGUAGUUCGGAUUGCAGUCUGCAACUCGACUGCAUGAAGUCGGAAUCGCUAGUAAUCGCGGAUCAGCAUGCCGCGGUGAUACGUUCCCGG
rnacentral:rRNA from 1 species